rnacentral:rRNA from 1 species
GACGAACGCUGGCGGCGUGCCUAAUACAUGCAAGUAGAACGCUGAAGGAGGAGCUUGCUUCUCUGGAUGAGUUGCGAACGGGUGAGUAACGCGUAGGUAACCUGCCUGGUAGCGGGGGAUAACUAUUGGAAACGAUAGCUAAUACCGCAUAAUAGUAGAUGUUGCAUGACAUUUGCUUAAAAGGUGCAAUUGCAUCACUACCAGAUGGACCUGCGUUGUAUUAGCUAGUUGGUGGGGUAACGGCUCACCAAGGCGACGAUACAUAGCCGACCUGAGAGGGUGAUCGGCCACACUGGGACUGAGACACGGCCCAGACUCCUACGGGAGGCAGCAGUAGGGAAUCUUCGGCAAUAGACGGAAGUCUGACCGAGCAACGCCGCGUGAGUGAAGAAGGUUUUCGGAUCGUAAAGCUCUGUUGUAAGGGAAGAACGAGUGUGAGAGUGGAAAGUUCACACUGUGACGGUAUCUUACCAGAAAGGGACGGCUAACUACGUG